UCCCGCAACGAGCGCAACCCUUGUCUUUAGUUGCCAUCAUUAAGUUGGGCACUCUAGAGAGACUGCCAGGGAUAACCUGGAGGAAGGUGGGGAUGACGUCAAAUCAUCAUGCCCCUUAUGCUUAGGGCUACACACGUGCUACAAUGGGUAGUACAGAGGGUUGCCAAGCCGUAAGGUGGAGCUAAUCCCUUAAAGCUACUCUCAGUUCGGAUUGUAGGCUGAAACUCGCCUACAUGAAGCUGGAGUUACUAGUAAUCGCAGAUCAGAAUGCUGCGGUGAAUGCGUUCCCGGGUCUUGUACACACCGCCCGUCACACCACGGGAGUUGGAGACGCCCGAAGCCGAUUAUCUAACCUUUUGGAAGAAGUCGUCGAAGGUGGAAUUAAUAACUGGGGUGAAGUCGUAACAAGGUAGCCGUAUCGGAAGGUGCGGCUGGAUCACCUCCUUUCUAAGGA
rnacentral:rRNA from 1 species